AUGAAAAACGUUAGUGUGUGUUUGGUCUUCGGUCCGCUGCGUGUAGAAAAUAUCGUCCUACUUCGACACACAGAAAUUGGAGUCGACGGCAAGGAGUCGAGGAAUCGAUUGUUUUGGAUUCAACUCCCCACCAGUUGCAAGUUGGUGAACCUGUGGUUUCAAAGUUCAGAGAAGCCUUUAGUGGCUGCCAUUUCGCAGAACAACAACUUCUAUCGACAGAGUGCCAAAAUGGCCGGUUCUCUUUCAUCCUGCGACCAUCAAGAGGACUGUGGCGAAGAGAUGAUGGAGUUUAACAAGGAUUUCGAGAGAAUGAUUGAAGACGUGGAAAAUAUAUCAGUGCAACUGACAUGGAUGGCCAAUGACAUGGUGGUGCAGCGGAUCAGUCCUGAUCUGGAGGACUCCCUAUGGCAGCUGGAGGAAGAGCUCAACCCCUGUCCCCUGGGGAACAGGAGCCGAACCAGAGGCUGGAAAAAGACCAGGGGAUGGGGAUGGUAUAGGAACUGGGACAGGGGCUGAACCAGGGGAUGGGGAUGGUAUAAGCACUGGGACAGGGGCUGAACCAGGGGAUGGGGAUGGUAUAAGAACUGGGACAGGGGCUGAACCAGGGGAUGGGGAUGGUAUAGGAACUGGGACAGGGAUGGAACCAGAGGAUGGGGAUGGUAUAGGAACUGGGACGGGCUGAACCAGGGUAUGGGGAUGGUAUAGGAACUGGGACAGGGGCUGAACCAGGGGAUGGGGAUGGUAUAGGAACUGGGACAGGGGCUGAACCAUGGGAUGGGGAUGGUAUAGGAACUGGGACAGGGGCUGAAUCAGGGGAUGUGGAUGGUAUAGGAACUGGGACAGGGGCUGAACCAGGGGAUGGGGAUGGUAUAGGAACUGGGACAGGGGCUGAACCAGGAGAUGGGGAUGGUAUAGGAACUGGGACAGGGGCUGACCAUGAGAUGGGGAUGGUAUAGGAACUGGGACAGGGGCUGACCAUGGGAUGGGGAUGGUAUAGGAACUGGGACAGGGGCUGAACCAUGGGAUGGGGAUGGUAUAGGAACUGGGACAGGGGCUGAACCAGGGGAUGGGGAUGGUAUAGGAACUGGGACAGGGGCUGAAUCAGGGGAUGGGGAUGGUAUAGGAACUGGGACAGGGGCUGACCAUGGGAUGGGGAUGGUAUAGGAACUGGGACAGGGGGUGAACCAGGGGAUGGUAUAGGAACUGGGACAGGGGCUGACCAUGGGAUGGGGAUGGUAUAGGAACUGGGACAGGGGCUGACCAUGGGAUGGGGAGGGAGUGUCCUAGACCUGUACAUACCACCUUUAUCCCACUGACAAAGAUGUGAUUAUCUGUGAUUCACCAGGAAUGUCUGCUGUUCUGAAAUGGACCUGAAUCCAAAGCUAGUAGCCCGUGCUCUGUAUGCUUGUCUACAAUGUUGUUGCAGUUGUAUGUACAGUAGACUAGAGUCUCAUAUCUGCAGCAGCAGUCUCUCUCUCUCUCUGACAGAAGCAGAAACCACUGGAGAUAGGUGAUAGAGAUGUCUCCUGCCCCACACUGUAUGCUGUCUAAGCUGAGCAGCAGGCUGUUGUAUGUAGGUUAUCAUUGUGUGUUAUGUACCUGUGGACAGGGUUUUAAUUAACUUUAGUGUUGUGUUAUGAAUUUGGGGUUUGGUCAAAUAAAAAGAUAAAACUUGAAUAGAGAAUAUUGACUGAUAGAUUGUUUAUUGGGAUGCCAAAAGGAGUUGGUAAAAUGUGCAUACACGUGUUGACAUUCCAUUUAUUCUUGGUCACAUCCCAGUCAUACCCCCAGCAGUCGUAGUACUGUAGAGUUUGUACUUAGGGCUUACAGUUUCUAAAGCCUUUACCACAUUCCUCAGAGUAGUAUGUACACUGAACAAAAACAUAAACGCAAAAUGCAACAAUUUCAAAGAUUUUACUGUGUUACAGUUCAUAUAAGGAAAUCAGUCAAUUGAAAUAAAUUAAUUAGGCCCAAAUCUAUACAUUUCACAUGCCUGGGAAUACAGAUACAUCUAUUGGUCACAGAUACUGUACCUUAAAGAAAGGUAGGGGUGUGGAUCAGAAAACCAGUCAGAAGCUGUGUUCGAAUACCCAUACUAACAUAAUGUACACUACAUACGCAAUGAGUGUAUAUACUACAUAGUAUAUACUAUUAGUCCAUUUUAGUAUACUGUAAACGAAUGGUAUCCUUUCAGUUGAGUGUACUAGCACUUCACCAGUCUGCCCGGAAGUUGAUGCUGUUGCUAUGCAACUUCUUGCUAGCUUGUUUGCAUAGCUAACAAAUUACAAGCUAGACAUCUUACGACUUCAUUAAAACUUCUUAAGGCUAGGGGGCAGUAUUCGGAGGUUUGGAUCACUGAGGUGCCCAAAGUAAACUGCCUGUUACUCAGGCCCAGAAGCUAGGAUAUGCAUAUAAUUGGUAGUAUUGGAUAGAAAACACUCUAAAGUUUCUAAAACAGUUAAAAUAAUGUCUGUGAGUAUAACAGAACUGAUAUGGCAGGCAAAAACCCGAGGAGAAUCCAUCUGGGAAAAUCAAAGGAAUACCUCCCAGAUUGCAGUUCCUAGGG
rnacentral:lncRNA from 8 species